rnacentral:lncRNA from 1 species
GUCCCAGCUCAGUGCCUGGCCUAAGCAGAUGAGCCAGGUUGUGGGCAAAUGUGCCGGGGUCAGAAGAACAAGGAUCGUAGUGCAGUCAUUGCCAGCUUCGUGCAUCAGGCAGCGUUUGCACAGAACCCUCUCAGUUUUCCUUUUACUGAGUUCUUUUCAGACGGUUUUACAGGGGGCAGCAAUUCACAGAAAAUAUUGUUUGGGAGUGCACAUAAAUGACAAAAAUAAAGCAGGAAAGCUAUGGCAAAACGUUGAACAACCCCAAUUGGAUACGUCUUCAUGGAUACUAAUGAAUACUGCAAUAUAG